rnacentral:rRNA from 1 species
GGGAUCGCACUAGCGCACCCUUGAUCUUAGUUGCCAGCAUUCAGUUGGGCACUCUAAGGUGACUGCCGGUGACAAACCGGAGGAAGGUGGGGAUGACGUCAAUCAUCAUGCCCCUUAUGACCUGGGCUACACACGUGCUACAAUGGACAGAACAAAGGGCAGCGAAACCGCGAGGUUAAGCCAAUCCCACAAAUCUGUUCU